UACGGGUGGUGCAAGUGUUAUUCCUCUUGACUAGGCGUAAAGGGUGCGUAGGUCGUAAAAUUGUUUAAAAUUAACAGAAACUUUUUUUUUCACAUUUUUUCUUGAAUUUAGAAGACGAUAGUGGAACUUCAUGCAUUAGAGUUAAAAUUCGUUAUAAAACUUGAAGGAACACCAAGAGCAAAGGCAACUAUCGAUUUUAAAUUGACGCUGAGGCACGAAAGGAUGGGGAGCAAAUGGG
rnacentral:rRNA from 1 species